GAUGAACGCUGACAGAAUGCUUAACACAUGCAAGUCUACUUGAACUUCGGUUUGGGUGGCGGACGGGUGAGUAACGCGUAAAGAACUUGCCUCACAGUUAGGGACAACAUUUGGAAACGAAUGCUAAUACCUGAUAUUAUGAUUUUAGGGCAUCCUAGGAUUAUGAAAGCUAUAUGUGCUGUGAGAGAGCUUUGCGUCCCAUUAGCUAGUUGGAGAGGUAACGGCUCACCAAGGCGAUGAUGGGUAGCCGGCCUGAGAGGGUGAACGGCCACAAGGGGACGGAGACACGGCCCUUACUCCUACGGGAGGCAGCAGUGGGGAAUAUGGGACAAUGGACCAAAAGUCUGAUCCAGCAAUUCUGUGUGCACGAUGACGUUUUUCGGAAUGUAAAGUGCUUUCAGUUGGGAAGAAAAAAAUGACGGUACCAACAGAAGAAGUGACGGCUAAAUACGUG
rnacentral:rRNA from 1 species